UACGUAGGGUGCAAGCGUUGUCCGGAUUUAUUGGGUUUAAAGGGUGCGUAGGCGGCCUGUUAAGUCAGUGGUGAAAUCCAACAGCUCAACUGUUGAUGUGCCAAUGAUACUGACAGGCUUGAGUACAGACGAGGUAGGCGGAAUUGACAGUGUAGCGGUGAAAUGCAUAGAUAUGUCACAGAACACCAAAUGCGAAGGCAGCUUACUAUGGUUUGAUUGACACUGAGGCACGAAAGCGUGGGGAUCAAACAGG
rnacentral:rRNA from 1 species